UGGGGAAUUUUGGACAAUGGGGGAAACCCUGAUCCAGCCAUCCCGCGUGUGCGAUGAAGGCCUUCGGGUUGUAAAGCACUUUUGGCAGGAAAGAAACGUCAUGGGUUAAUACCCCGUGAAACUGACGGUACCUGCAGAAUAAGCACCGGCUAACUACGUGCCAGCAGCCGCGGUAAUACGUAGGGUGCAAGCGUUAAUCGGAAUUACUGGGCGUAAAGCGUGCGCAGGCGGUUCGGAAAGAAAGGUGUGAAAUCCCAGAGCUCAACUUUGGAACUGCAUUUUUAACUACCGGGCUAGAGUGUGUCAGAGGGAGGUGGAAUUCCGCGGGUAGCAGUGAAAUGCGUAGAUAGGCGGAGGAACACCGAUGGCGAAGGCAGCCUCCUGGGAUAACACUGACGCUCAUGCACGAAAGCGUGGGGAGCAAACAGG
rnacentral:rRNA from 1 species